rnacentral:tRNA from 1 species
UAUUGAAUGGCUGAAAAGAAAGCAAUGGUCUCUUAAACCAGUUUAUAGUACUCGCAUACUUUCAAUAA